rnacentral:rRNA from 1 species
ACCCAGGCUUCGGCCUGGGGGAAAGCGGCGAACGGGUGAGUAACACGUGAGCAAUCUGCCCUCGACAUCGGGAUAGCCCGGGGAAACCCGGAUUAAUACCGAAUGGCCCAUCAGCUUUUCGAAGCGGAUGGAAAAGGUAGCUUCGGCCUCCGGUCGAGGAGGAGCUCGCGGCGGAUUAGCUUGUUGGUGAGGUAACGGCUCACCAAGGCUCCGAUCCGUAGCUGGUCUGAGAGGACGAUCAGCCACACUGGGACUGAGACACGGCCCAGACUCCUACGGGAGGCAGCAGUGGGGAAUCUUGCGCAAUGGGCGAAAGCCUGACGCAGCGACGCCGCGUGAGGGAAGAAGGCCUUCGGG